GUUUCUCUCUUCAAACUUGUCUCUUCUCUCCUUCUUGCGCAGUGUCGUCUUCUUCAGGUGGUGUUGCUGCGUUUUCUCCCUACUGGUGGUUUGGCUUUUAGACGCUCACCCACUCUCGCUUCUCUUUUGUUCUCUCCCGUCUGUGAAGUGGUUAAACUCCUUGCCAUAGUGUUGACGCCGAGCUCUGUCAAAUGGGUGACAAGAUUUUUAGAGGUCAAAUUCAAGACAUAGAUAAUACACUGCAUGAGUCAGGUAAGCGGGGUUCCUAUGCUAAGUUUUAUACAAGUUAAUAAGACUGAGGUUGACUUUAUGAAAACUUGCAUAUUUUGUGAUGUAAUGGGAACUUGGGAAA